rnacentral:lncRNA from 1 species
AAAUGUUUAAAAGACACAAAUUUUUUCGAAUUGUGAUGGUGAGAUCAGGGUUUUGUUUGGUGCAUUAGACAUCAAUGGCUCUGCUGUUAUAGUUGUCGUUGGGGUCUCGGCAGUCUUUCGAAGCUAGAAGAAUAAAUUAGUAAGAUAUACACCCUUAUUCAGUCAAAUAAACCAAGAAAUAACCAAGAUAAGAGAUGGCUGAAUGGGGAAAUUCAAAAGCAUAUAUUUCAUGAGCCAGAGUAGAAGCUUCAGUUCGGGAAUGGGGCUUUGGCUCCCUUUGUGUCAAAUCAUUGGGGAAGUCCUUGAACUUCUCAUGGAUUAAAAGGAUUUUUCCAAUAAACAUUUUUGGGGUGAUGAACAUUAAAAACAGAAACCUGAAAGAUACAGGACGUUGUUUUUCUGAGCAGAUUGGCAUGGGUAUGUUUGAACUAUUAAAACAAUUAAAAAAUGCGGGCAUUAUUGGAAAUAAAUGGGAUCGUCUUGGAAAUUGCUAUUGAAUAUUGUUUGUCCCCUACUGGGAAUUGAUGAACCUGCCAAUUUUAAUUCCAGGAUCAACAGUAGGUACAAGUUGCUUAACGAAUAUAAUAUUACCUCAGUAAGCCAAUUUCAGAUCCAGGGGUAGUCAAAAUUUAAGAAAAAUAUAUUCUAUUUUAAACCCAAUAGGAUAUUCUUUGCAACAAAAUUCAAUGUGUCAAUACAGGGCCCCCUGUUAUUAUGUGUAUAGCUUUUGAAAGCUUACGUAUUAAGGAUAUCUGUACAUACUUGAUGACGGGCCAUGACCACAAGGGCCCUACAAAAAUCGUAGAGAUAACUAGGGAGACUUGAACUCAACACGAAAUUGAACCAGCUGCACCUGAUAAUAAUUAUGAGGAACCUUUUCACUUACUCACACCAAAAAGUGGUUGUGGUAUAGAAUUACUACAACCUAUUUUUAUACCAAUAAAUCAAAUGAGGAACACAUGUAUCAUUGGUCUAAAUUGGAGCUGGAGGUGUCUUUCUAUCUUCCUUAUUACUUCCCUUCAUUGUAGUGGUGGAUUGCAUGAUUCACUAAGCUUAUAAUGCAGUCCGGAUCCCUUCUGUUUGGCGUAUCGCUACAUCAUUGAAGCACCACGAGGUAUUUAAAAUAGUUUUUCUAAUGGGCAAGGAAUUCUUGGCGCAGUGAAGGUGGUGAAAAAAUAAUUCCAUCCUGCCUGGAGGCUCUGGUGUCCCAGUAAUAGGUGUAAUAAUAAAUUUCGAGGAUUCGGGGUUACCCUUGAAGAACAAGAUAUCGCCGAGACCUGUAAACUAAUAAAACUGUUCAACAGAAAAAAAAGGUACAAAAAUAGUAUAUCUCCAUUUAAUAGAGUAUGAUCAUUUGUAUCCAAAUAUGGGCGUAGUUUUUCUCUCAAAGCCUCGUGGCCCUCAGAAAAAGGCCAUAAAUUAUUUCAUUAUUUAUAGCUAUUUAUAAGGUUCAAAGCUAUUUUAAGCUCUCAGGGUUGAAGUUACAGGAUAAAUAAAUCUAAUAUAUUUUAAAGCUGAAUGUUGAAAAUUUCUAAAAUCAUUUUUAAAAUGUCGAUGUCUUGCUUAUAUCUCGAGUUAUCCUUGUUUUAAGUUAAAAAUAAGUGCUUUUUUUUUUUCAGAGGCUCAUGGCUUCAAGACGAAUAUACUCAAGAAGUUUAAAAGUAUCUUAUUGAAUAGCUGAAAGUAUGAACUUUAAUUCUUUUUGAGAGAGCUUCUCCAAAAAUGCUCUUCAUCCUUGUCAAUUUGAGAUAAGGCCACGACAAUACUUCAAGGAUAAAACACAUUUUUGAAUUGAUCGAUAAUAAAAAUCCAUAAAUAUUUGUAUGCCCAGCUAGAAAAGUUACAAACAAAGACAGAGAAGAAGAAAAAAGAUAGAAAGAAAAAGAGUUUGCUCCGAGGACUCCCUUCAAUGUACGUUAUAUAGAAUCCCUCACUCAGUACGGGUAUGUAACGAGUCAUCUUCUGUCCAUUGAGCUUGACAUAAUUUAUAUAUACAGUUUGAUAUAUGAGGCUUAAUGUUAUAACAAAUUGUAUAAUAUAUCGAGUACAUAUACGAGUAUUUAUAGACUUAUAUUAUAAAAACAAUUCAAAAAUGAGUUUUAUCCUUGAAAUAUUGUGGUGGCCUUAUCUCACAUUGACAACGAUAUAAAGCAUUUUUGGAGAGGUUCUUUUUUUUUUUAAAUUAAAAUUCAUAUUUUCAGCUAUUUAAUGAAAUGAGAUAAGUUUUGAUGAACUUAUUCGUCUUGAAGCUAUGAACCUCUGAAUAAAAAAGCUCCUAUUUUCCAGUUUAAACCAAGAUAACUUGAGUUAUAUGUAUGAUACAGACUUUUUAAAAAGGGUUUUUAGAAUGUUUUAACAUUUGGUUUAAAAAUAUAUUGAGAUAAUGUAUCCUUAUCUUCAACACCGAGGGCUUAAAAUAGUUUUGUGUCUUAAAAUAGCCAAAUAGUUAAUAUAUAUGGCCUUAUCCUGAAAACUACAAGGCUCUGAGACAAAAAUGUAAGGCCAUAUUUGAUUGAUUAAAUUGAGCAUAUGUUGUUUUUGUGCAUUGAAAAAAGUAUGAUUUUGUUGGAUAGUGCAAUUGGUUGUGUUUAUCUAAGUCUUGUUUACGAUUAGCUUACCUCUUCUCCUUUUUUGUCUUCUUUUUACAUUAUCCAGUAAUAUUAUCGGUAUAUAUGUUUAGGUGAGGAGUGAGGACAAUUUAUAACCUAUGGUAGUGACGAAAUGGAGGAAAAGAAGAAAAAGUUAAAUAUUUCAUAUUGUGUAUUAAGCUUUCGGGGCGUGUGCCUUUCCCCCUCUUAUUUAUUGACCAGCUGGCAUCUGCUCAUUGCUAUUAUCCCGUCUUCUUCCUUAACGUAUAUUUUGUAAAAAUAUAUAAAUAAAUGUGAAUAAUGUUUAUGGUGCUGAUACUGUAACAGCCAAUAACGUUUACUUUUAAUUUUGUCAAUUUCUUUCCAGAUUUUGAUGUCCAAAUGUUUGUAAAUAAAAAACUAAGUAUUC